rnacentral:rRNA from 1 species
UGCUCAGGAUGAACGCUGGCGGCGUGCUUAACACAUGCAAGUCGAACGAACCUUCGGGUUAGUGGCGGACGGGUGAGUAACGCGUGAGAAUCUGCCCUCAGGAGGGGGACAACAGCUGGAAACGGCUGCUAAUACCCCAUAUGCCGCGAGGUGAAAUGAAUUUCGCCUGAGGAUGAGCUCGCGUCUGAUUAGCUAGUUGGUGUAGGUAAUGGCUCACCAAGGCAUCGAUCAGUAGCUGGUCUGAGAGGAUGAUCAGCCACACUGGGACUGAGACACGGCCCAGACUCCUACGGGAGGCAGCAGUGGGGAAUUUUCCGCAAUGGGCGAAAGCCUGACGGAGCAACGCCGCGUGAGGGAUGAAGGCCUCUGGGCUGUAAACCUCUUUUAUCAAGGAAGAAGAUCUGACGGUACUUGAUGAAUAAGCCACGGCUAAUUCCGUG